UACGGGGGGGGCAAGCGUUGUUCGGAAUUACUGGGCGUAAAGGGCUCGUAGGUGGCCAACUAAGUCAGACGUGAAAUCCCUCGGCUUAACCGGGGAACUGCGUCUGAUACUGGAUGGCUUGAGUUUGGGAGAGGGAUGCGGAAUUCCAGGUGUAGCGGUGAAAUGCGUAGAUAUCUGGAGGAACACCGGUGGCGAAGGCGGCAUCCUGGACCAACACUGACACUGAGGGGCGAAAGCCAGGGGAGCAAACGGG
rnacentral:rRNA from 1 species